rnacentral:ncRNA from 1 species
UAGAUAGAGGCGCGGUGCUCAUCAGUACUCUCCCGCAAGGCCGGGCAGGCCGCGGGUCGGGAAAGGGAUCGCCGCCGAAGGAACGAACAGUGCCCUGUCAUUCGUUCCUGGGCCGUCCGGAGAAUAUCCGGCGGACUGUCACAAUACUUUGUGGAGCGCUAUCG